rnacentral:rRNA from 1 species
AACAGGAAGAAGCUUGCUUCUUUGCUGACGAGUGGCGGACGGGUGAGUAAUGUCUGGGAAACUGCCUGAUGGAGGGGGAUAACUACUGGAAACGGUAGCUAAUACCGCAUAACGUCGCAAGACCAAAGAGGGGGACCUUCGGGCCUCUUGCCAUCGGAUGUGCCCAGAUGGGAUUAGCUAGUAGGUGGGGUAACGGCUCACCUAGGCGACGAUCCCUAGCUGGUCUGAGAGGAUGACCAGCCACACUGGAACUGAGACACGGUCCAGACUCCUACGGGAGGCAGCAGUGGGGAAUAUUGCACAAUGGGCGCAAGCCUGAUGCAGCCAUGCCGCGUGUAUGAAGAAGGCCUUCGGGUUGUAAAGUACUUUCAGCGGGGAGGAAGGGAGUAAAGUUAAUACCUUUGCUCAUUGACGUUACCCGCAGAAGAAGCACCGGCUAACUCCGUGCCAGCAGCCGCGGUAAUACGGAGGGUGCAAGCGUUAAUCGGAAUUACUGGGCGUAAAGCGCACGCAGGCGGUUUGUUAAGUCAGAUGUGAAAUCCCCGGGCUCAACCUGGGAACUGCAUCUGAUACUGGCAAGCUUGAGUCUCGUAGAGGGGGGUAGAAUUCCAGGUGUAGCGGUGAAAUGCGUAGAGAUCUGGAGGAAUACCGGUGGCGAAGGCGGCCCCCUGGACGAAGACUGACGCUCAGGUGCGAAAGCGUGGGGAGCAAACAGGAUUAGAUACC